UAGGCCUAUGAUGAACAGAUUAUAAUGCCUACAUUGCUUGAUGCAUUCUAUGAUAAGAACAUAAUAUCCAUCUGUCAGAGGCCUUA